AACGAACGCUGGCGGCAUGCCUAACACAUGCAAGUCGAACGAGACCUUCGGGUCUAGUGGCGCACGGGUGCGUAACGCGUGGGAACCUGCCCUUAGGUUCGGAAUAACUCCCCGAAAGGGGUGCUAAUACCGGAUAAUGUCUUCGGCCCAAAGAUUUAUCGCCUUUGGAGGGGCCCGCGUUGGAUUAGCUAGUUGUUAGGGUAAAAGCUUACCAAGGCGACGAUCCAUAGCUGGUCUGAGAGGAUGAUCAGCGACACUGGGACUGAGACACGGCCCAGACUCCUACGGGAGGCAGCAGUGGGGAAUAUUGGACAAUGGGCGAAAGCCUGAUCCAGCAAUGCCGCGUGAGUGAUGAAGGCCUUAGGGUUGUAAAGCUCUUUUACCCGGGAUGAUAAUGACAGUACCGGGAGAAUAAGCUCCGGCUAACUCCGUG
rnacentral:rRNA from 1 species